UAUGCUCAGGGAAGUGGGAUCCUGUAGGACAAUCAUGGAGGUCCGAUCUGCAUUUGUAGAUUGAAGGGGCCCGAGAAGAGGAAGAUUCACGGAACAACUUGUCUUUUUACCAAAAGCUGCCUGUUACAGAGUUCCCUCAUUUGUAUACUUUGUGGCCUCACCAGCUUGUUUUCUCUUUGCACUCUCCAUUUGCCUCGGACUAACAUCCCCCUUUGCCAGAGUGGAGCUGGAACACCCUUCUUCUCCUGCCUUUGGACAUCAGAACUUCAGAUUCUCUGGCCUUCAGACUUCAAGACUUGCACUAGUGGCCCCCUGGGUUCUCAAGGUUUUGGCCGCCUCGGUUGAGAGUUACACCAUCGGCUUCUUUGGUUCUGAGGCCGUUGGAGUUGGACUGAGCCAUGCUACCAGCUUCCCUGGGUCUCCAGCCUGCAGAUUGCCUACUGUGAGAUUUAGCCUCCAUAAUCACGUAACAGAAUAUUGGCAUGUAGCACUCCUCAAAACAUAGAAAGCAGAAACAAAUCAAUUCUGCCUGGAGGACCUCCCCGAUCUCAACACCCAGUGGUUUUGACAGAAUUGAUAUAGAAAUAGAAGCUUCAAGGUGGGAACUUUUUAUUUAAUGCAAAGUAAUAUACGAUUUAAGAAAC
rnacentral:lncRNA from 1 species